GAAGUCGGUGUUUGGAGAAAGGGACUCAGAUUUAAUGAGUUAAUCUCACUUGGUGAAUAUGAAAAGGCAGCUUGUUAUGCAGCAAACAGUCCUAGAAGAAUUCUUCGAAACAUUGGUACAAUGAAUACAUUUAAGGUUGAGACGGGGUUUCCC
rnacentral:sRNA from 1 species